rnacentral:tRNA from 1 species
CCUUAGCUCAGUUGGUAGAGCAACUGACUUUUAAUCAGUGGGUCGCAGGUUCGAAUCCUGCAGG